rnacentral:rRNA from 1 species
UACGUAGGGGGCAAGCGUUGUCCGGAAUCAUUGGGCGUAAAGCGCGUGUAGGCGGCCCGGUAAGUCCGCUGUGAAAGUCGGGGGCUCAACCCUCGGAUGCCGGUGGAUACUGUCGGGCUAGAGUGCGGGAGAGGCGAGUGGAAUUCCUGGUGUAGCGGUGAAAUGCGCAGAUAUCAGGAGGAACACCAAUUGCGAAGGCAGCUCGCUGGAACGUUACUGACGCUGAGACGCGAAAGCCAGGGGAGCGAACGGG